CAGUCGCCGAGGUAAUACAGAGGGUGCAAGCGUUAAUCGGAAUUACUGGGCGUAAAGCGCGCGUAGGUGGUUUGUUAAGUUGGAUGUGAAAUCCCCGGGCUCAACCUGGGAACUGCAUCCAAAACUGGCAAGCUAGAGUAUGGUAGAGGGUGGUGGAAUUUCCUGUGUAGCGGUGAAAUGCGUAGAUAUAGGAAGGAACACCAGUGGCGAAGGCGACCACCUGGACUGAUACUGACACUGAGGUGCGAAAGCGUGGGGAGCAAACAGGAUUAGAUACCCCAGUAGUCCCUGUCUCUUAUAC
rnacentral:rRNA from 1 species